GUCAAAAGUUAUCAAACCAAUUACUGUACUGGUUAACUAAUGCUCUAGGAUAAGGGAAGUUACACCACAGACUGUUCCAGGGUUUUCUCAUUAAUUGAUGGAAUAGUACGCUAGCCCUUUAAGAAACGCGAUGUGUGACAUUCUGGAAGAAUCGCGAGAUUCUGCUGUGUACAGCGCGUGGUCACAACGUGAUUUGAAGUGCGGCUCAUGCGGUGGAGUGCUGAGGCCAUUAGACGCCGAUGUUACUGUUAAAAUAACAAAAAAAGCACAUAUAGUAACUUGGAAGUCUCUCUUAGUGUGUUGUGAGGAUUGUGUGUUGUGCUGAGGGAACUUUGAAAUUCUGUCGACUCGAGAUGCAUACCUAUGUGGAGAAAUCCGAUCGACAAUAAAUCUCGAAGCAGGGGAGAGGAGUAUUCUUAAGGCCUCCUGAGUGUUUCCAGGCCGAGUGUGAAGCAACAGAAAGGAGAAUUGAGUUCAGCAUUCAAUGUGACAGUGUGUACAUGCUAUAAAGUGUGUUGAUGAACAGUAAGUUUAAUUUGAUUAUUAUAAUAAGAGUCAUUUGAUUAUUUCUUUGUGGAAUAUUAGAAUGUAUUAAUGUUACUGGGAAAUGUAACUUCAUUUUUACAUUUUUCAUGCAUCUUUUAUGUAAGAUAAGCAGCUUUAUUUGGUAUUCUGUGUUGACAAAUCUUGUAACAAUCUGUGUAUGUGUUUUUCAGAAUACGAGUCCACUAUCGUUGUCUAUGUUAAUUAGAUUCCAGUAGUUUAUUUGUUAAUGUGGUGACUGAGAACAGAAAGACAAGAGAGACUAGAGUUGAUAACAAAAUAUCUUUAUUGAUUCCAACCAAUGUAACAAGCUUUCCUGUCUAGUAUCACAUAUUUGCAUAGUUAACGCUGCGCUGUUUCAAGUGCAGUCUGGAAUAAACGAUCCCACAGAUAAUUUAAA